rnacentral:lncRNA from 1 species
GAUGCUAUAGUAGAUAUCUAAGUCAAUUAGUAGACCCAAGGCCUCUCUUCUCUAUGGUAUGGUAUUCACUCUUGUAUUUCAAGUGUAGGAGUUAGCCUGGUUGGAGAAGUGUCUAAGACUGUGGAAUUUCUAGGUGAUUAACAUGCAGAUUAUUUUCAUCUCAUAAAAAUAUGCAGUGAAAAUAUAAAAUUAAAAUAAUUUUAAUUUUAUUCAUGCUCUGAUCUAAUCCUACAAUCACC